CUGGGAGGACCAUCUCCUAAGGCUAAAUACUCUCUAGUGACCGAUAGUGAACCAGUACCGUGAGGGAAAGGUGAAAAGCACCCCGGAAGGGGAGUGAAAUAGAACCUGAAACCGUGUGCUUACAAGUAGUCAGAGCCCGUUAAUGGGUGAUGGCGUGCCUUUUGUAGAAUGAACCGGCGAGUUACGAUUUGAUGCAAGGUUAAGCAGUAAAUGUGGAGCCGUAGCGAAAGCGAGUCUGAAUAGGGCGUUUAGUAUUUGGUCGUAGACCCGAAACCAGGUGAUCUACCCUUGGUCAGGUUGAAGUUCAGGUAACACUGAAUGGAGGACCGAACCGACUUACGUUGAAAAGUGAGCGGAUGAACUGAGGGUAGCGGAGAAAUUCCAAUCGAACCUGGAGAUAGCUGGUUCUCUCCGAAAUAGCUUUAGGGCUAGCCUCAAGUGAUGAUUAUUGGAGGUAGAGCACUGUUUGGACGAGGGGCCCCUCUCGGGUUACCGAAUUCAGACAAACUCCGAAUGCCAAUUAAUUUAACUUGGGAGUCAGAACAUGGGUGAUAAGGUCCGUGUUCGAAAGGGAAACAGCCCAGACCACCAGCUAAGGUCCCAAAAUAUAUGUUAAGUGGAAAAGGAUGUGGCGUUGCCCAGACAACUAGGAUGUUGGCUUAGAAGCAGCCAUCAUUUAAAGAGUGCGUAAUAGCUCACUAGUCGAGUGACACUGCGCCGAAAAUGUACCGGGGCUAAACAUAUUACCGAAGCUGUGGAUUGUCCUUUGGACAAUGGUAGGAGAGCGUUCUAAGGGCGUUGAAGCAUGAUCGUAAGGACAUGUGGAGCGCUUAGAAGUGAGAAUGCCGGUGUGAGUAGCGAAAGACGGGUGAGAAUCCCGUCCACCGAUUGACUAAGGUUUCCAGAGGAAGGCUCGUCCGCUCUGGGUUAGUCGGGUCCUAAGCUGAGGCCGACAGGCGUAGGCGAUGGAUAACAGGUUGAUAUUCCUGUACCACCUAUAAUCGUUUUAAUCGAUGGGGGGACGCAGUAGGAUAGGCGAAGCGUGCGAUUGGAUUGCACGUCUAAGCAGUAAGGCUGAGUAUUAGGCAAAUCCGGUACUCGUUAAGGCUGAGCUGUGAUGGGGAGAAGACAUUGUGUCUUCGAGUCGUUGAUUUCACACUGCCGAGAAAAGCCUCUAGAUAGAAAAUAGGUGCCCGUACCGCAAACCGACACAGGUAGUCAAGAUGAGAAUUCUAAGGUGAGCGAGCGAACUCUCGUUAAGGAACUCGGCAAAAUGACCCCGUAACUUCGGGAGAAGGGGUGCUCUUUAGGGUUAACGCCCAGAAGAGCCGCAGUGAAUAGGCCCAAGCGACUGUUUAUCAAAAACACAGGUCUCUGCUAAACCGUAAGGUGAUGUAUAGGGGCUGACGCCUGCCCGGUGCUGGAAGGUUAAGAGGAGUGGUUAGCUUCUGCGAAGCUACGAAUCGAAGCCCCAGUAAACGGCGGCCGUAACUAUAACGGUCCUAAGGUAGCGAAAUUCCUUGUCGGGUAAGUUCCGACCCGCACGAAAGGCGUAACGAUUUGGGCACUGUCUCAACGAGAGACUCGGUGAAAUCAUAGUACCUGUGAAGAUGCAGGUUACCCGCGACAGGACGGAAAGACCCCGUGGAGCUUUACUGUAGCCUGAUAUUGAAAUUCGGCACAGCUUGUACAGGAUAGGUAGGAGCCUUUGAAACGUGAGCGCUAGCUUACGUGGAGGCGCUGGUGGGAUACUACCCUAGCUGUGUUGGCUUUCUAACCCGCACCACUUAUCGUGGUGGGAGACAGUGUCAGGCGGGCAGUUUGACUGGGGCGGUCGCCUCCUAAAAGGUAACGGAGGCGCUCAAAGGUUCCCUCAGAAUGGUUGGAAAUCAUUCAUAGAGUGUAAAGGCAUAAGGGAGCUUGACUGCGAGACCUACAAGUCGAGCAGGGUCGAAAGACGG
rnacentral:rRNA from 1 species